rnacentral:rRNA from 1 species
CGAAAGCCUAUCUCAGUUCGGAUUGGAGGCUGAAACCCGCCUCCAUGAAGUUGGAUUCGCUAGUAAUCGCGCAUCAGCCAUGGCGCGGUGAAUACGUUCCCGGGCCUUGUACACACCGCCCGUCAAGCCAUGGGAGCCGGGGGUGCCUGAAGUUCGUUACCGCAAGGAUCGACCUAGGGCAAAACUGGUGACUGGGGCUAAGUCGUAACAAGGUAUC